UCUCGAUAUCCUGACCUCGUGAUCUGCCCGCCUCCACCUCCCAAAGUGCUGGAAUUACAGAGUCAACAACAAUGGUUCCACGAACUGCUGGAGAAAACAAAUGCCUCUUAUUAGAGGCAACAACGAUAGUUCCAUGAACUGAUGGAGAAAAUGAAUUGAAUGACUCUCGGACCACAUUUUCCAGUGGCAUAGUCAUCAGAGGAAGGAGAGCCUACCCAGUGUGAUGUGAAUAAAUGGAUGAAGUUCUACUUUGUUACUGCUUCAUGGCCCAGUUUCCUAAUGCAGGUUACGGAUUAUGCAAGUUUACAACAUCAUCUAACUUGGCACCAAUCUGGGCGAAUCUAGAGCAGUGGCCAGUUUGUGAUGAGCCACAUCCAGAAUGCAGUGGGGGAGCUCACAACUGGACAUCUUAGCAAAUACCAAAUCCAGAAGUGAAUCCCUACAAUGUGAGAAGACUCUCACAAUUGCCUUUCUCAAGAACACCACCUUGGCCACUUCACCUUUCUCUGAAGAGCACCACUCGUCUUUCCCCGGAAGGAUGGAUGCAGGAUGCUGCCUCCACAGGGCCACAGAAGCCAUUGUUCCAAGAAGCACCGGCUUCUUGGGCUUUUAGCUUAAUGGAUUUCCAUGUUAGGACCUAGACUUCUGUCUCUCCCUUAUUUUCCCACCAAUCCCCACAGCAGAAUGCAGUCCUCUUCCAAAUAUCUCCAACAGUUGACCGCUCAUCUUCCCGUCAAGCUGUCAGUGAGAGUCUAUUAAAUGGCCCAAUCUUGAAAUCCUUCUGAUGAACACAAAUGAGAAAUAAACUUAUGAAACAGCUCCGAGUUACAUUUAAGUCUCUCCAUUUCCUUUAGUUUCUCUUUGCUCCAAGGCUUGAAUAUAAAAUGGAGACAGGGUUUCGGCGACAGAUGGCAGAGGAUAAUCUUUCAUUUUGUCAUAAAGUUAACCCUCAGAGGGGCCUGAAAAGAC